rnacentral:rRNA from 1 species
GACGAACGCUGGCGGCGUGCCUAAUACAUGCAAGUCGAGCGAGAGAAUCUCCUUCGGGAGUGAAGCUAGCGGCGGACGGGUGAGUAACACGUGGGCAACCUGCCUCAUAGAGGGGAAUAGCCUUUCGAAAGGAAGAUUAAUACCGCAUAAGAUUGUAGCUUCGCAUGAAGUAGCAAUUAAAGGAGCAAUCCGCUAUGAGAUGGGCCCGCGGCGCAUUAGCUAGUUGGUGAGGUAACGGCUCACCAAGGCGACGAUGCGUAGCCGACCUGAGAGGGUGAUCGGCCACAUUGGGACUGAGACACGGCCCAGACUCCUACGGGAGGCAGCAGUGGGGAAUAUUGCACAAUGGGGGAAACCCUGAUGCAGCAACGCCGCGUGAGUGAUGACGGCCUUCGGGUUGUAAAGCUCUGUCUUCAGGGACGAUAAUGACGGUACCUGAGGAGGAAGCCACGGCUAACUACGUGCCAGCCGCCGCGGUAA